AAACGACUCUCGGCAACGGAUAUCUCGGCUCUCGCAUCGAUGAAGAACGUAGCGAAAUGCGAUACUUGGUGUGAAUUGCAGAAUCCCGUGAACCAUCGAGUCUUUGAACGCAAGUUGCGCCCGAAGCCUUCGGGCCGAGGGCACGCCUGCCUGGGCGUCACGCAUCGCGUCGCCCCCCC
rnacentral:rRNA from 1 species